rnacentral:rRNA from 1 species
UACAGGGGGUGCAACCGUUGCUCGGAAUUAUUGGGCGUAAAGCGCGCGUAGGCGGCCACUUAAGUCGGAUGUGAAAGCCCCCGGCUCAACCGGGGAACGACGCAUGAAACUGGCAAGCUAGAGUACCGAAGAGGGGGGUGGAAUUCCCGGUGUAGCGGUGAAGUGCGUAGAUAUCGGGAGGAACACCUGUGGCGAAGGCAGCUCUCUGGGACGGUACUGACGCUGAGACGCGAAAGCGUGGGGAGCGAACAGG